rnacentral:rRNA from 1 species
UACGAAGGGGGCUAGCGUUGUUCGGAAUUACUGGGCGUAAAGAGCUCGUAGGUGGUUUGUCGCGUUGUUCGUGAAAACUCACAGCUUAACUGUGGGCGUGCGGGCGAUACGGGCAGACUGGAGUACUGCAGGGGAGACUGGAAUUCCUGGUGUAGCGGUGGAAUGCGCAGAUAUCAGGAGGAACACCGGUGGCGAAGGCGGGUCUCUGGGCAGUAACUGACGCUGAGGAGCGAAAGCGUGGGGAGCGAACAGG